CGGUUGAACCUUGAGUAAAGUGGCGAACGGGUGAGGAACACGUAGGUGACCUGCCCUCAGGAGGGGAACAACCGCUGGAAACGGUGGCUAAAACCCCAUAAGCUCACGGGAAUCAGAACCCUGUGAGAAAACACUCCGGUGCCUGAGGAGGGGCCUGCGGCCCAUCAGCUAGCUGGUAGGGUAAUGGCCUACCAGGGCGAAGACGGGUAGGGGACCUGAGAGGGUGACCCCCCACACGGGAACUGAGACACGGUCCCG
rnacentral:rRNA from 1 species